UACGAAGGGGGCUAGCGUUGCUCGGAAUCACUGGGCGUAAAGGGUGCGUAGGCGGGUCUUUUAAGUCAGGGGUGAAAUCCUGGAGCUCAACUCCAGAACUGCCUUUGAUACUGAGGAUCUUGAGUUCGGGAGAGGUGAGUGGAACUGCGAGUGUAGAGGUGAAAUUCGUAGAUAUUCGCAAGAACACCAGUGGCGAAGGCGGCUCACUGGCCCGAUACUGACGCUGAAGCACGAAAGCGUGGG
rnacentral:rRNA from 1 species